AGAUUGCUUUUGAGGAAAACCUUGGUCAAAUCCACGGAUCUGGGGACAUUUCUUCACCUCUUCAUCUUCGUGGCUAUCAUCGGCUGGCUACCAGCUACUAUCUAAUGGUUUAUAUGCAAAUCACUGAGCUAAAUGCAUCGUGUGUGUGGUCACAUUGAGUUCUUAAUCAUCUCCGGGCAGGCUUUACUGUUCCCAAUUUACUGAGAGAGAAAUAUAUUCAAAGAUAUUAACUGAUGCCAUUCUUGGAACUAAGCCAUUGGGGGACAUUCGGCAUCCAAACUUUGUCACCAAACAGGACAGAAUCUCUUCUUCAAAUGCUUUGCUGUCUAGCUCAACUCCCAACACAUGAUAUCUCAGCAUGAUUGAAGGCUAGAAGUCCUACAGUUUGAACAGCACUUGUUGUUGCAAAGUUUGGUUGAAUUUUACUUGCCUGUAUCUUAGCAUAAUAUAAGACGUGAAUCUUAUGGGCGGAACUGGUUCGCAAAUUCAGACUUAGUGGUUUGCAAAUUUGUGUUUCAAGUUUACAAACCAUUUUCUCGAAUUAAUUCUUAAUCAAAGGUGUAGGAAUACAAAACAAAACUGUGGACUAAAGGGGUUGUUAGUAUAGAGGUAUAUGUACAUAACCAAGGCCAUUGCUCCAUCACACCAAUGGCUAUCCCAUAAUGAGGCUUGAUAAAGUCCUAUAGAACUUACCCGAGAGAUGCUGCUGAACCCAGUGUGGUAUAGACAACAAACUAGGAGGCUCAGAGACCAUUAGGAGUCAACAGAGGAAUAAAGGAAGAUCAGAUCUCAGGUUCAGAACUCAGGGUCAAUUUUUCUCUAACUAAUUUGACAUCUUGCUAUUACAUUUCUAGUAGAGUCACACAUAACGUCCCAGUAGGUAGAGAUUUGGCAAAGAUGCGCAAAGACAAGAUGCCUUCUAGAAAGAUGUCUCGGUGUUCAUAGUUUCUCAUUUACUUCUGAUGGCUCAAGUCCUGCUCCAGGAUGCCACACCCAAGAGCAAACUACAACAAUUUACUCCAACCACCCUGGGAAGCCUCUGUAUUCAAUACAGUGUUUUCACAACUUUUCAAAAGGCUUGAACAGAAAGCUCAUCACACAUUUUGGCAAUCUUAGGAGAUUUUUUUCCCUUGACAACACUGUAAAUUAUAUGGGUUUUCUUACCUUUUUUUCCCCCCUUCUGGAGCAAUGUAUACUAGAGCUUAGAGAAAGAGACUCUGUUUUGCGUGUUAUCAUCUAGGAGGAUGAUAGGUCAUUCAGACAUGUAAGAUUUAAACUGCACAUGCCAGCUGGAUUGGGCUGUGACAGUAUAAGCUUAAACUGUGCAUUGUGACUUGCUGAAGGUGAAAAGAAACCCUGCUAGGCCUGACACACUCUUGUGUUCUUGCUCAUUUCUCACACUUCAGCCAUGUUCCUCUUCCUGUGGUGGGUGUAUAAGCUUGGGAAGGCUUCUCUAAAUCAUCGGUGGGCUUUCCUACCCCUGCCCACUUGGGCUACCUUGUCUGUUGUCUCAAUUUCCUUCUCGGCACAACGUUAAUUUUUCCUCCAAGCACAGUUCCAAUAUGAGCUCUUUAAACUUCCCUGAUUCCAGCUCCUGAUCUUUGAUCAAUAAUUAAUUACUUUUUUCCUGAGAGCUCUCUACCGGUUGCUUCUUCUUUCUUGUGGAAGCUCAGCAUAUCCUGGGAUCUUCUUUGUGCACCUUUUACGCCUUUACCCACUUGCCCUACUUCUCUUGAGCAAUUUCUAGGGGUUUAGGGGGUCUUUGGGGGGACAGUACACACUUAGUGAUGCUGGCUUGGUGAGGCUCUCUAGUUCUAACUGAGCCUAGUAAGUAGGCCUCAUCCUUUUGCCAAAAAGUGAAGACCAAAGUGAGGUUUUUUUGUUUGUUUUUUGUUUUUUGUUUUUUGUUUUUUGUUUUUUGUUUUAACUACAAAUCUCAACUUUAAACACAGGUUCUUCUAGAUACAUUUAGAUUUUCUUCUAUUUGAAAUGGUUCAGC
rnacentral:lncRNA from 1 species